GGUGAACGCUGGCGGCGUGCUUAAGACACGCAAGUCGAACGGCAGUCUUCGGACUGUAGUGGCGCACGGGUGAGUAACGCGUAACUGACCUACCCCAAAGUCGCGGAUAACGAUUCGAAAGAAUCGCUAAUACGUGAUGUGCUGUCAGAUUGUGUUCUGCCAGUAAAGAUUGAUUGCUUUGGGAUGGGGUUGCGUUCCAUCAGCUAGUUGGUGGGGUAAAGGCCCACCAAGGCGACGACGGAUAGCCGGACUGAGAGGGUGGCCGGCCACAGGGGCACUGAGCCCCGGGUCCCACUCCUACGGGAGGCGGCAGUUAGGCAUCUUCCACAAUGGGCGAAAGCCUGAUGGAGCGACGCCGCGUGAGCGAUGAAGGUCUUCGGAUCGUAAACCUCUGAAUCAGGGACGAAAGACACUUCGGUGGGAUGACGGUACCUGAGUAAUAGCACCGGCUAACUCCGUGCCAGCCGCCGCCGUAAUAC
rnacentral:rRNA from 1 species